rnacentral:piRNA from 1 species
CAGGUUAGGAACUCAAGCAGGAU